GCUAACUUAGCUCAGUUGGAAGAGCAGCGGACUUGUAACCCGCAGGUCGUGGGUUCGAGUCCCACAGUUAGCUCCA
rnacentral:tRNA from 1 species